rnacentral:rRNA from 1 species
UGAACGCUGGCGGUAGGCCUAACACAUGCAAGUCGAACGGCAGCACAGUAAGAGCUUGCUCUUACGGGUGGCGAGUGGCGGACGGGUGAGGAAUACAUCGGAAUCUACUUUUUCGUGGGGGAUAACGUAGGGAAACUUACGCUAAUACCGCAUACGACCUACGGGUGAAAGCAGGGGAUCUUCGGACCUUGCGCGAUUGAAUGAGCCGAUGUCGGAUUAGCUAGUUGGCGGGGUAAAGGUCCACCAAGGCGACGAUCCGUAGCUGGUCUGAGAGGAUGAUCAGCCACACUGGAACUGAGACACGGUCCAGACUCCUACGGGAGGCAGCAGUGGGGAAUAUUGGACAAUGGGCGCAAGCCUGAUCCAGCCAUACCGCGUGGGUGAAGAAGGCCUUCGGGUUGUAAAGCCCUUUUGUUGGGAAAGAAAAGCAGCAGGUUAAUACCCCGCUGUUCUGACGGUACCCAAAGAAUAAGCACCGGCUAACUUCGUG